rnacentral:rRNA from 1 species
AUUGAACGCUGGCGGCAUGCCUUACACAUGCAAGUCGAACGGUAACAGGUCUUCGGAUGCUGACGAGUGGCGAACGGGUGAGUAAUACAUCGGAACGUGCCCGAUCGUGGGGGAUAACGAAGCGAAAGCUUUGCUAAUACCGCAUAAGAUCGACGGAUGAACGCAGGGGACCGCAAGGCCUUGCGCGAACGGAGCGGCCGAUGGCAGAUUAGGUAGUUGGUGGGAUAAAAGCUUACCAAGCCGACGAUCUGUAGCUGGUCUGAGAGGACGACCAGCCACACUGAGACUGAGACACGGCCCAGACUCCUACGGGAGGCAGCAGUGGGGAAUUUUGGACAAUGGGCGAAAGCCUGAUCCAGCCAUGCCGCGUGCAGGAUGAAGGCCUUCGGGUUGUAAACUGCUUUUGUACGGAACGAAAAGACUCUGGUUAAUACCUGGGGUCCAUGACGGUACCGUAAGAAUAAGCACCGGCUAACUACGUGCCAGCAGCCGCCGUAAUAC